rnacentral:rRNA from 1 species
AACGAACGCUGGCGGCAUGCCUAACACAUGCAAGUCGAACGGGAUCCUGGUUUCGGCCAGGUGAGAGUGGCGGACGGGUGAGUAACGCGUGGGAACCUGCCCAGUGGUGGGGGAGUAACUGCGGGAAACUAGCAGCUAAUACCGCAUGAGCCCGAAAGGGAAAGAUGAUCGCCAUUGGAGGGCCGCGUUCGAUUAGGUAGUUGGUGAGGUAACGGCUCACCAAGCCUUCGAUCGAUAGCUGGUCUGAGAGGAUGAUCAGCCACACUGGGACUGAGAUACGGCCCACGACUCCUACGGGAGGCAGCAGUGGGGAAUAUUGGACAAUGGGGCGAACCCUGAUCCAGCAAUGCCGCGUGAGUGAUGAAGGCCUUCGGUU